AAUAUGAAACUGCACUGUAUCGGGUUCACUGCAUCCACACAUUAUGUAAUGAAUUUGCUUACCACAAAGUACAUUGUUGUACUUUUAUUUGUGAUGUUAAAUAUCAGUUUAUGGUCAUAGGAAAACCCAGUCGCCAAAUGCUGUAAGCACAUACUCGCAUUAAUGUGUCCUCCACACUAAAACCCUAUAGUGCCUAAAAUUGUUUUGUUGGUUGGUUGGGGGGGUCUUGUAAAGUGUGCCAUGCACAUAGUGGCCUAGAAGAACGCUCAUGUCAGUAGAGAAAAAUGUCCCUUUUAUCAAUGUUAAGAGUGAAUGAAUUUGCUUAGCUCUGACCAUCAAAAAUAAAAAAUUUGGGUGGGAUUUGAUACAGCAUUUGAGUUUUGCAAUGCGAAGAAUUUAAUCUUGAGGUGAAUUCAUUAUGCAUGUGUGUAUUUGCAGUAUAAGGAAGGCUUGUAGUGCUGUAAGCCUGUGUGCUGAAAUGAUAGUCUAACACUUUCACGUUCCCGUAUUAAUGAAGUCCACAUGGAAUCGCUUGAGAAAUAUCCAGGCAAUGAAUUUCUGAUUUAUUUUUUGUAAUACGGUAAUAAAUUGGUAACAUAGGAAGGUUAUUCGACUCGUGUAUUUGUCCACCAUCUAGUUUGAUCAGCCAUGUUCAUUCUUUUCUGCGUGCAAUAUCUUAAAAGCAAUACAUGACAAUUAUUCUGUACUUGUUUCAGUUUGGCUUCAGGAGUUUUAGCGCCGUUGAUGUCUAAAUGCAAUACCAGUAUUCAAACACUAGAUGUCGUCCUUUAAUCGUAUCUGUAAGUUGGUUCACAUUCUAGAAGGAUAAUGGAGUGGGUUGAUAUUAUGUUGUUCGGAUUUAUCAAAUGCAGAUUGAGCGAAUCCAACAUUGUAGGUGAGGUUUCCUCUGAAUAUUAAAGGAAAACCCUGAGUCCUCUUCUACUCACAUCAGUCGUUUCCUUGGCUGUGAGAUGCAGCUGUUGCUUUCAGUUGCAUCAACUGCAGUGAUUGUGUAAUACAUCCGGCCUCACUGGUUUUCUAUUAAAAAGUGACCAACCUGCCUCAGUACAGUAUAUUAUUA
ensembl:lncRNA